rnacentral:tRNA from 1 species
GCACCAGGCGCUUUUUAGAGCAUUAGGCUUUUAACCUAACGGUCCUGGGUUCGAGUCCCAGUUCGGGCG